AAAUCGGUGUACAAAAAUCAGUGACAUUUAUUUGCACCAAUAACAUUCAAACUGAGAGCCAAAUCAAGAACACAAUCCUAUUUACAAUAGCCACAAAAAGAAUAAAAUACCUGGAAAUACAGCUGACUGCGGAGGUGAAGGAUUUCUACCAAGAUAGUUACUGAACACUGCUGAAAGAUAUCAGAGAUGACAAAAACCAAUGGAGAAACAUCCCGGGCUCAUGGAUUGGAAGACUCAACAUCACUAAAAUGGCCGUACUGCCCAAAGGCGACAGGAACCGAAACAGCAUGGUACUGGUACAAAAACAUUCUUAUUUUAAAAAUUUAGUUUUCUAAACAUUCCCAAAACUACUUGUGAGUCAAGAAUAAUAUUUUAAAAGGUCUUAGAAUUUCUUAGCAAAAUAUUUAUCACAUAGUUUGACUAAUUACACAGAAACACUUUCAGUACUUCAAUAUUAUCGGAAUAGUUGAAGUUUAACCAUUAAAAUAUUUUGAUAUCACAAGACACACGAUUGCUUCAAAAUAUUCUACUUUGAAAUUACAUCAGAUAACAAUGUAUAACUGGAUACUGUGCUUAGCUUAAUAUCAUCAGUUAAAUAAAAAUAUUAUAAGGAAAUUUUUAUUUGUUUUAUCAGAAGGUACCUUAUACAAGUUAGAUGCACAGUCAUAAUGCAAAACUUAAUUCUACCUUUAAACAUCAUUUCAUGAACUCAAUGUUAGGAAAUAUAUAUCCUCUUCUUGACAGCUCUAACUUUUUCUCUCAGAAAAUCAUAGCUUGAGUGAAGAGGUUGAAGAAUUCUAACAACACUGAGUCAUAAUAUCAAACUUGAAGUAACAAUGCUGUAAUAAACAUAAAGUGACAGCACAUGGCCAACAUGCGCAUGCACAAAGAUUAUCCUAUGUAAUGGCUGGAUGUGACCUUAAACAAGUUACUUUGGGGUGUGUGUGUACACCCAGAUCUUAUGCUGCACCUGUCAUUGUGCUGAGCAAUGGGGAUAUCACAGAGAAGGCUGGAACGAGAGUGACAGCAGGAGAGACAGUUACAGACAAAAUGUUAAUCAAAUAGAGAUCACAGUUUUAGUCCUGUCAGUAUAUGGACACUCCCUUAACUCCAAAUGCAUGGCUUCUAUAAAUUGUCUUGGAGGACUAGGCUUAGGCCUGAG